GGGGCGGGGCAGGGGGUAGGUCCACGCGGGGUCUGGCAGUAGGCGGGGCUCUGUUGCCAGACAACCGGGCGUUAGUGGUGGUGGUGUUGGUGUCUUCCUGUCUCUACGGUACCUGUUUCCUCGUGCCGUGGUCCUGAGACUAUGAAUCAUAGUGAAAGAUUCGUUUUCAUUGCAGAGUGGUAUGAUCCAAAUGCUUCACUUUUUCGACGCUAUGAGCUUUUAUUUUACCCGGGGGAUGGAUCUGUUGAAAUGCAUGAUGUAAAGAAUCAUCGCACCUUUUUAAAGCGGACCAAAUAUGAUGACCUUCACUUGGAAGAUUUAUUUAUAGGCAACAAAGUGAAUAUCUUUUCUCGACAACUUGUGCUGAUUGACUAUGGGGAUCAGUAUACAGCUCGUCAACUGGGCAGUAGGAAAGAAAAAACGUUAGCCCUGAUUAAACCAGAUGCAAUAUCAAAAGCUGGAGAAAUAAUUGAAAUGAUAAACAAAGCUGGAUUUACUAUAACUAAACUCAAAAUGAUGAUGCUUUCAAGGAAAGAAGCAACGGAUUUUCAUGUAGACCAUCAGUCAAGGCCGUUUUUAAAUGAGCUGAUCCAGUUUAUUACAAGUGGUCCUAUUAUUGCCAUGGAGAUUUUAAGAGAUGAUGCUAUAUGUGAAUGGAAAAGACUACUUGGACCUGCAAACUCUGGGGUGGCACGUACAGAUGCUCCUGGAAGCGUUAGAGCCCUCUUUGGAACAGACGGCAUAAGAAACGCAGCUCAUGGCCCUGAUUCUUUUGCUUGUGCUGCCAGAGAAAUGGAGUUAUUUUUUCCUUCGAGUGGAGUUUGUGGGCCAGCAAACACUGCUAAAUUUACCGAUUGUACCUGUUGCAUUAUUAAGCCCCAUGCUAUCAGUGAAGGACUGCUGGGGAAGAUCCUGAUGGCUAUCCGAGAUGCAGGUUUUGAAAUCUCAGCUAUGCAGAUGUUCAACAUGGAUCGGGUUAAUGUUGAAGAGUUUUAUGAAGUUUAUAAAGGAGUAGUAUCUGAGUAUAACGAGAUGGUGACAGAAAUGUAUUCUGGCCCUUGCGUGGCUAUAGAGAUUCAACAAAAUAAUCCUACAAAGACAUUUCGAGAAUUCUGUGGACCUGCUGAUCCUGGUGAGAGACCAUGGUUUGAGCUGGCUCCUAAUGGGAGAUCAAAUCUCCUGCCAUCUGCCUUCGCUAUUACUACCCUCAGGCAAGUCUGGAUCUUGGGUAAGAAAUUUCACUCUUAUAGGAAGAGGACUUGUAUUCAAGAUCCAGGGCACUUAUCUUAAGGAAAGAGUUGCUUUCCAAAGUGAUAUCGCUCACACAAUCUGUAAUCUUGGUCUCUUGCCUUUUUUUUCUCUUUCCAUUGGUAUUAGUGAUAAGAAGUGGGGCCACUCAUUUCUAUUGGAAAAGGGCCUGGCUAUACUCUCUGCAGAGGGUUUUUCUCCUUUCCUAGGGUGGUUGCCUGUCUCUGAGAAGCUUUGAGGCAAGCUGCUCUGUCAUUGGGGUAUAAUGUACAUCAAAAAACAACUACAACAACUAAAAAUAAAAAUUAAAAAAAACGUACCUUAAUAACCAAUACUAGUAUUUCUUUUCAUGUGGGAAGUGGUUUGUACGGAGAAAGAUGUGCAUAGGUCUUUUAGGGUAUGAAGGUAAGUAGGUGAGGCUCUGGGGGAAUAAGUGGGAAUGUGAUAAGAAACUAAAAGUAUAACUAAAGUGUUCAGUAUAAGGAAUGACUAGCAAUUUGGGGGUAGGACAUAAAGGGAAGAAAGAACUCAAGCCAUCAACAGAGGCUGGAGCCUGGGAAAAGAGUGCACUUGGAGCCAAGUGCAGAGGCUGGGAGAGUGAAGGGAUUUGCAGAAUAGAAUUUCUAAAAUUUAAGUCUAAGAUAUUUGUGUUUCUGGAGUAUAAGUCCUCUUUUUCUUCCCAAAGCUUCAGUAAAAUCACGUAUGCCUUAAAGCUUUUGGUGGUGGUGGUGGUGGGUGUAGAAAAGGAGACUAAGCCUGCGGCACAUUUCCCCUGCGGGUGCCUGGAGGAGGCAGCUCACGUUGCAGAUCAGAGUGGAGCUCUCGGCUGUGGCAGGUUAUUUGAGGUCCGUCUUGCAUCAUGUAGAAUACACGUGAAAAAGUUUUACUUCUUCUAGCUGAGUCAAAGACUGAAUGAAGGAAAAUCAUUUCACCCUCAUGCUUGUGGUCCUGCGAGGCUUCCUUUCUUCUUUGCAG